rnacentral:rRNA from 1 species
AUUGAACGCUGGCGGAAUGCUUUACACAUGCAAGUCGAACGGCAGCACGGGGCAACCUGGUGGCGAGUGGCGAACGGGUGAGUAAUACAUCGGAACGUGCCCAAUCGUGGGGGAUAACGUAGCGAAAGUUACGCUAAUACCGCAUACGAUCUACGGAUGAAAGCGGGGGAUCGCAAGACCUCGCGCGAAUGGAGCGGCCGAUGUCAGAUUAGGUAGUUGGUGGGGUAAAGGCUCACCAAGCCAACGAUCUGUAGCUGGUCUGAGAGGACGACCAGCAUCACAGGGAGUGAGACCAGGCCCAGGCUCGUACGAGAGGCCGCAGUGGGGAAUUUUGGACAAUGGGCGCAAGCCUGAUCCAGCCAUUCCGCGUGCAGGAUGAAGGCCUUCGGGUUGUAAACUGCUUUUGUACGGAACGAAACGGUUCUCUCUAAUACAGGGGGCUAAUGACGGUACCGUAAGAAUAAGCACCGGCUAACUACGUGCCAGCCGCCGCGGUAACAC